rnacentral:rRNA from 1 species
UACGUAGGGUGCAAGCGUUGUUCGGAUUUACUGGGCGUAAAGGGCGCGUAGGCGGCCACCGCAAGUCGACUGUGAAAUCUCCGGGCUUAACCCGGAAAGGUCAGCCGAUACUGCGGGGCUAGAGUGCAGAAGGGGCAACUGGAAUUCUCGGUGUAGCGGUGAAAUGCGUAGAUAUCGAGAGGAACACCUGCGGCGAAGGCGGGUUGCUGGGCUGACACUGACGCUGAGGCGCGAAAGCUAGGGGAGCGAACGGG